rnacentral:rRNA from 1 species
UACGUAGGGUCCGAGCGUUGUCCGGAAUACUGGGCGUAAAGCGUGCGCAGGCGGCUGCUCAAGUCAGGGGUGAAAGCCCAGAGCUCAACUCUGGAAUUGCCUUUGAGACUGAGUGGCUUGAGUACGGGAGAGGUGAGUGGAAUUCCCAGUGUAGAGGUGAAAUUCGUAGAUAUUGGGAAGAACACCGGUGGCGAAGGCGGCUCACUGGCCCGUAACUGACGCUCAUGCACGACAGCGUGGGGAUCAAACAGG